AACUUCCAAAGGGAAAGACGAUGAUGUCAUACUUACUCAUUUCUAUCUAUUUUUUACACAGCUCUAGUUUAUCUAGAAAUACAUGGAGAGACAUUUAUUGUAAUUAUUAUAAUACCUUUCCCCCCAAUACUUUAACAUUUAUUUUAUAUAAGUGGAAAGCCCAUACCAUGUAAACAAGACUUUUUUUUUCACAUGUCUUAUGUUACAUGGUAAGUCACAGUUUAUUAUUUGUUGGAGUGUUCAUCUUGAGCAUUAGGACACGUGCGUAUUUCUUGCUGUUUACAAUUUUAAACAGAACAAAACCUCAAAUUAAAAAAAAAAAUUAAACACGUGCUUGUAAAGGCCAUCCUACGCUUUUGUAACCAAGGAAGUACCAAUCAUCUUAUGAACACACAUACACAAAGAAAAGAAAAAGAGAAAGACAGAGACUUGGCUUAACAUUUAUUGUUCCAUUUUGCUCUGGCUUGAUUGUUUCCCUGGCCCACAGCUAGGACUGGAAAGUUGUGGCUUCUUGUAUCUGAGGUUAAGCUGAUGGCUUUUAUUUCCUGCUUCAACCAUAAGCAAGAUAUCCAAAGAGUAUGUUUGGGAGGACCUGUUUUUUAACUCUAUGUCUUGUUUUUAGGCCCAUGUCUCAGUCCCAUGGGAUAUGGAGGAGUCUGGGCAAACUCCAGAGACAGCUUCAGUGCAGAGAACCUCCAACCGUGAGGUCACAUGUACACAUAGUUAUUUUCAUGGAGUAGGUGGCAAAUUCUCAAGAUAAUCUUGUUUGUGGGAUACAAGCAUUUCUAGGAUAUAUUCAUAGCCAGCUUAAUACCAUAAUUAGCCCCAGAGUUGGAGUAUACCGGAAACUUCUAAGCUAUGGGCAAAGAUUGAGUUAGAUGUGAAGGUAAGCCGGGCUGCUCUCUACUGUGUAGUUAAAAACAAAAAGUGGGCACAGAGAGAGUACUUGUUCUGCCCUUUCUUCACCUACUGAAUUUUCAUUUCCCCUUCCCCUACCCCAGAGGUCUAAUAAUGGACUCCAACAUCCCGUGUUCAACAGAGCUUUAAAAAUCCACAUGGAGUCCAAAACUGUAGUAGGAAUUUGGGGUUUGCUUUUCUUUCGGGUUUAAUGUGACUUCCUAGGUUCCGGAUCCUUCGUAAUAUAUUUCUUAAACCGCGGAUCGUGGAGGUGAAUUCCCUUGGGGGAGAGUGGCUCUGCGAGUUGAUUAGCACCAUUUGCCUGCUUCCUCCAUCUCUUCUGCUCAGGUAUUAGUUGUGAGGACAGCUGUGCCUGUGCUCUGCUCCCCAAGUCCCUCGCUCCAUUUUAAUGUGAGCCAGUGAUGCAAAGUCCCCAGCUUGGCCUGUCAGAACUUGAUAGCUCUGUAAACACUGAAAUCUUUGUUGCCAUAACACCAGGAAAAAUAAUAUGGGAUCCUGCAUAUAAACAUAGUGGAGGCCUUGGGAAAUGGGAGCAUUUCUAAAUGACUUGAAGCUCUGUCAUGGCAUAAUCUCUUAUAAAUGGAUGACAAGGUAGUGGCUGAAUGCAGACUGGAUUUUUGCCUGCCUAUGGUGCUCAGCCUUCUAGAGAAUAGUUAUGCUAAGGGAUUAUCUUUUAACAUAGUGCAGUUAUCUCCUUUGUUUGUUUUCUUUUUUCAUUAUUCACAUAAGCCAAGGGAAAUGAAAAGCAUCUUAUUUCAGGCAAAAGGGCCUGUGAAUGAUUAACUCUGGUUCCAUGCAUUGGGACUUUGCAUAGCAACCCCUUGGCUUACAACUAGAGAAAGACUCAAGGCAGCAACAGCAGCCCAGGGACCCGAGACGAACAUUCUCAAACGGAGGUAGUGAGGAACAGAUUAAAUCGAAGCACUGUGUUUAUGAGUAGAAUUCUCUGUAGCUGGCUCAUUUAAUUUUGCAUUGGUUUUAUUGCACUUUUCUUGGUGAAGGUGUGUUUUGCUGACCUUUACUUCACAUUUACUCUUGCAUUUGGAGUACCCUUGAGGAUCUAAGUGAAACUUGGUCGUGAUUAGGGCGUAAUCUGGUUUAGGCCACUAUAUUGUAUGUUUUCUCCCUAACACUAUCCAAAGCUAGACUAACCCUGGCUAAAUUUUACAUUAAGAAGCAAAAUUAAUGUAAUGGCCUUAAGUUUUAAUUUCAGCUCAAUGAAAUUUUUGUUGGUAAAUUUUGGCACUCUUGUGAUGAUCUAUAGUAGAAAGCAUUAUGUGAACGGAAGAGAAGGAAAUGGUGUGAUUAUAUGGUUUCAAUUAAAAGGCUAUGAGUCUGUAAAGGACCCAGAUUAUGCAAUAUGAAGGAUGAAAUCAAGACCAAUUCUAUAUCUUUUAUGGACAUUUGGUGCUUAAACGUUUAUAUAACCAGGUUCAUUUUCAUCCUGAAUUAAAAGACUCAGAAGAAAAUGAAAUGUAGGCUAAGGACAGAAGAAACAUUGGAGAAUUUUGGAAAAUGCGUAUAGUUAUAAUGGAGCCAAAAUAUUUAGGACACUUAAAUUUAGACUGCAAGUCAAUCCAGAUGUUUAUUUAUUAACGUUAAUAAUGUUUCCAGUCUUGUUAUAGAAUACCAAAUCCCGGGGGGUUCCACUUCUGAGUUUAAAGACAAAUGCAUGGUCUUUAUUCUUUUCCAGUUGUGUUUUAAUUUGGGAAGUUUUCCAAAGCCAUGAUUUUCCUGUAAAAGUGUUUGCAAAAUCUUGAGCAGCUCCUGGUGCCUAGCAGAAAGUCUGAGUGAAACAUUGGGUCUAGCAAAGCUUUCCCCUUUCUGCAUUUCUCUUCUUGCUUCCAUGACAAUAAAGAAAGAAACUUGGCAUAAGAAUAUAAUCUGUUCCUGCCUGUUUCUCAUCUGAAGUCGUAAACCUCUGCCAUCCCACCCAAGACUAGAAUUUCAGCUGGCAUGAACAGCUGUCUGCUUACAGGUUUAUUCCGGUAGUAACCAAAGACAAAACUAUUUUAAUUGAAGGCCCUAGGCUGUUCUCCAAACCCUCACAAUCUUUGGGUCAUUCCCAAGAGGAAACCAUUGAGGAAAAGGUACACAUUACACCCUUUCUUAUAGUUUUGACACACUGUAUGUUUAUGAAGUUGAGAACAUUUUACCUUCUAAUUUUUCUAGAGAGGAUGCCAUAGAGAAAAGGAAGAGGUCACAAAUUCAAAAGCCCAAAGGCUCAGGCACACCAGCUAUGUUAGUGGAGAGUAGGCUGUGGUGUAUGGGAGAGGGAGUGUCUUGUCUAAAGGAGCAUCUGCUGCUCAGCUUCCGUCAUAGUUAUCAUGUGGGAAUGUGGAACCCUGGGGUAGCCAGAUAGGCUGGUUUGUCAGCAGAAAUUCCUGGUCCUGAUUAUAUGUGAAUUCGGUAUGGUUUUAAAUGUUGGCAAUUAACUUGAAGUGAAGCCAAACAUUGUGAAGGUCAAUCGAAACCUGGCUCUUAAAUGUUUGGGCUGCCAGUGUCCGACCCCCAGGCUUUGCUCCUGAUUCACUGCAGGUAGACUUUGCAUAUCUCAGCUUUGUAGGUUCUAAAACUGUCAGGUGAUAUAAUAUAUUUACACAUUUCCCUUUUUAUUCUAGGUAGUUCAGCAUAAAGAAGAGAACACAAGUUUUGGAGUCAGGGAGAUGUAGAUUUUACUAGUUCCAGAUUUUUACCAAAUUGUAACCGGCACCACCUUAAUCUCUUGAAGCCUCUUCUACAACACGUGGAAAUGAAAACCUAGUUUACAGGGUCUUUGGAGGAUUAAAUAAACUGUUCUCCAUAUAUAAAAUGCUUUGCCUGGCCUAUAGGUGCUUUUUGCAUGGGUGUUACUUUUCUGAUCAUUAUCAGCAGGUGAUCCACUUUGGAAGACACAAGGCCUCCAUGAGUUUUUCUCAGAAUAGGGAGAGGUUUUCUCUGAAGGUCUAAUAUGGUAUACAAUACAAGUAAAUUGUAUCAAGAAUCACCCUGAAGGCCUUAAAGAAUUUGAGAAUUUUAGAAGCAGAAAAGACCUUGAGGAGACAGAAACUUCAACAGUUAGAAGUGAAUGGAAUCAUCAGUUUUAUUGUAGACAUUAUCUGGAACCAUGGCAAAUGAAUAAUUUCCCUGAAAUGCAGUAGGACAUGUGAAGAACACAACUUGUUAUGAAAAUAAAGCCAAAGAUCGUAUCUGGAACUAUGUUGUGAAGUGAAAGAAUGCUGAUCACUAGGAAGAGGGAAGAUGUUAGAAGGCAAACGGAUUUGUUGGGGAAUUGCAGCAGCUGAAGACUAUCAUGAACUGUUUGUAGAAGGAAAUGCUGAAUUCAAGAUGAGUUUAUGUAACAGGAAAUCUGGCUAGCUCAGGCUUGGCCACGUGACUUGUUUAAGAUGCCAACUCUGAGAAGUUCUUUCACUUUGGUCCUUACCGUGAGAAAAGCAUGUACAAGUAGGGCUCUGCUCCUUCAAUCUGGCUUCUGGAUUGAGAAGACAAAUGAGGCAGACCCCAUCGAUCCACCCUCUGCAACAGAGCCACAGCCGGCCAAUACUUCACCUGUAAGCAGUCAUUGUUACUUACACGUUUACAACACUGGAGUCCGUAAACUGCUAUCAGAUAGACGACCUCAUUUGUGACUCACAACUUCAUUAAGAUUACCCUGGAAUUUCAACACCUUACAAACACAGUAGUUUUGAGAAAACAGCCUGGUUUGCUGGACUCCAGACACUUAGCUGGAGGAACUUGUGCUACUUGGCAUAGUUUGCAGUCAUGGUGCAUUUUGAAAAUGAAAGCACAAGGGUUCUUCUUGAACAUGUCAGAAUUGUUUAUUUUUUUCUUUCCUGUUGCUAUUAAUCAUUGUCUUACUUUUGAAGAUGUAACUUAGAAAAACAUGUUUUAUCUCACUUAUAUAUAGAAUCAUGUAUUCAAAGAAGUCCAAGUGAUGAUCAAAAACCCUCGAAGAAUACAGUAUCGAUGGGUUCAUAAUUAUAUAAUGCCAUUGAAUUCAGUUUUCCUUUUAGUAUCUUACUUGACAGAUUUUUUUUCUUUCUUAAAAAUUUUGAAAAAAAUGACAAGGGAAAGGAGCAAUUCAAGUAUUUCUAAUUGAAGUAGAAGCACUUCUUCUCAGUGAUCUAAGCUUCCAGAAAAAAAAAAAAAUCUGGAAAAAGAAGAGAAUAUUAAACACAGAGUAAAGUAGAAGAAAAAAAGAAAUAUAAAGUAGAAAUCAAUUAAAUAAGAAAAAAGUCAAAACCUAGAAAGAUGAAAGAAACCAAAAGCUGUUUUUUGAAAAUUUGUAAAAAUCCAGCCAGGCUAUUCAAAAAGGAAUGAAAUUAGAGAUGGAGACAGAGAUAGAGACAAAGAGAGAGAGACAGAGACAGAGAUGGAGACAGAGACAGAGUGGAGACAGAGAUAAUAAGACCUGAAGUUCUGAUCCUGUUUCAGUAUCUCUAGAGCUGCAUGGUGUCACUGCUCACACGGGUAUUACAGAAUAGAGGCAAACCUGGAUGCUAAAUCUCUCCUUUGUCAGACCCCCUCCGCAGGGGCUGGCUCACUGUUCAGAACUGCUCCGACUUGAUUAGUUCAGAGGGUCCCUCUCUCCCAAUUGGAACUUUGCCUGAGCAUGGCUACUAAUUCUUGUAUCCUUCUCUCCAGCCUUGGAGUUUGCAGUUUUGCCUAGCUGGACUGCUUGCCGUAUUUAUCGAUCCACCUAUGACUAUAAAACAACCAUUUGUUCCUUUGUUAACAGCGGAUUUGCUUGUGGUAUCUAGAUCUGUUUCUAUGCCUAUGAAUGAAAGCAUUAGACUGUACAUCAUGGUUAUUCGUUCUGAAAAACCACCCCGAAUUUAGCAAUGUAAGACAGCAAACAUUUCAUUAUGCUUGUGGAUUCUCUGGGUCAGGAGUUUGGAAAAGGGACGACACUGAAGGCUUGACUCUGCUCUCUAAUGUCUGGGGCCUCAGCUGGGAAGACUGCACGGCUGGGGUUGCCUUGAGGAAUAGAGACUGGAAUCAUCUGAAGGCUUGUUUAUUCGAAUACCUGGUCCCUGGGCAAGAAGAACGCCAAACUGGGCAGCCAACCAGAGUGCCUCCGCUUGGUCUCUCCAAGUGGUUUGGCUUCUUUAAUAGCAUGGUGGCCUCGGUGUACAUGCUGGCUCAGGAGUCCAAAUGCAAGAGUUCUAGAUAACAAGGUACAAAUGGGAUCACCUUUUCUGACCUAGCCUCGGAAGUCAUGCAGCUUACCCUAUGCCUCAAUAUGAAGCCUACCUAUAUUCAGAAGGUGGUUCAUAGACCCUACCUUUUGAUCAGAUUAAAGGUCUUGCUGUAGAUGAAUAUGGGAGGUAGGAGAUAUUUGUGGAAACUCCAGUCUGCCACACGAUCUGAAUAGAACUGGCAAUAGAAUUUUAGCAUCCAUCUUCCUCACUCUGCCCUCAUUUUCAUCUCUACAGUGGCCUCCUUCACUUCAGCCACAUUUUAUGGUAAUAGUUCAAAGAAUCAAGUGGGAUCAACUUUUAUAAUUACAUAGUUGUGUGUGUGUAUUUUCUAUAGCUUUCCAGGGACAAAGAAGGAAAUGCAUUAUUAUAAUUUUAAAGACUUACUGCUGGACGCUUGGGAGUAAAGCUGAAUAUAGAAAGCACAUUGCUAAUCAAAUUAACUUAUAACAUUUAUUUUGAAAGUUUGAUAAUCAAGAAAAAUUUUCUCCCUUUA